rnacentral:rRNA from 1 species
CCUACGGGUGGCUGCAGUGGGGAAUAUUGGACAAUGGGCGAAAGCCUGAUCCAGCCAUGCCGCGUGUGUGAAGAAGGCCUUCGGGUUGUAAAGCACUUUCAGUGGGGAAGAAAGCCUUGGGGCUAAUACCCUCGAGGAAGGACAUCACCCACAGAAGAAGCACCGGCUAACUCCGUGCCAGCAGCCGCGGUAAUACGGAGGGUGCGAGCGUUAAUCGGAAUUACUGGGCGUAAAGCGCGCGUAGGCGGUCUGAUAAGCCGGUUGUGAAAGCCCCGGGCUCAACCUGGGAACGGCAUCCGGAACUGUCAGGCUAGAGUGCAGGAGAGGAAGGUAGAAUUCCCGGUGUAGCGGUGAAAUGCGUAGAGAUCGGGAGGAAUACCAGUGGCGAAGGCGGCCUUCUGGACUGACACUGAAGCUGAGGUGCGAAAGCGUGGGUAGCAAACAGGAUUAGAUACCCUUGUAGUC